UGCCCGAUGGUGUAAUGGUAGCACGACCGACUCUGACUCGGUCAGUCUAGGUUCAAAUCCUAGUCGGGCAACCA
rnacentral:tRNA from 1 species